UACAGAGGGGGCAAGCGUUAUUCGGAAUUAUUGGGCGUAAAGGGCGCGUAGGCGGCUUGGCAAGUGGAUGGUGAAAUCCCUCGGCUUAACCGAGGAACGGCCGUCCAAACUGCUUCGCUUGAGACCGGGAGAGGUGAGUGGAAUUCCCAGUGUAGCGGUGAAAAUGCGUAGAUAUUGGGAGGAACACCAGUGGCGAAGGCGGCUCACUGGACCGGUACUGACGCUGAAGCGCGAAAGCGUGGGGAGCAAACGGGG
rnacentral:rRNA from 1 species